GACGAACGCUGGCGGCGUGCCUAAUACAUGCAAGUAGAACGCACAGUUUAUACCGUAGCUUGCUACACCAUAGACUGUGAGUUGCGAACGGGUGAGUAACGCGUAGGUAACCUGCCUGGUAGCGGGGGAUAACUAUUGGAAACGAUAGCUAAUACCGCAUAAUAUUAAUUAUUGCAUGAUAAUUAAUUGAAAGGUGCAAUUGCACCACUACCAGAUGGACCUGCGUUGUAUUAGCUAGUAGGUGAGGUAACGGCUCACCUAGGCGACGAUACAUAGCCGACCUGAGAGGGGGAUCGGCCACACUGGGACUGAGACACGGCCCAGACUCCUACGGGAGGCAGCAGUAGGGAAUCUUCGGCAAUGGACGAAAGUCUGACCGAGCAACGCCGCGUGAGUGAAGAAGGGUUUCGGAUCGUAAAGCUCUGUUGUAAGAGAAGAACGGGUGUGAGAGUGGAAAGUUCACACUGUGACGGUAGCUUACCAGAAAGAGACGGCUAACUACGUG
rnacentral:rRNA from 1 species